rnacentral:rRNA from 1 species
UACGUAGGGGGCAAGCGUUGUCCGGAAUCAUUGGGCGUAAAGCGCGUGUAGGCGGUUCAGUAAGUCUGCUGUGAAAGUCGGGGGCUCAACCCUCGAAUGCCGGUGGAUACUGUCGGGCUAGAGUGCGGAAGAGGCGAGUGGAAUUCCUGGUGUAGCGGUGAAAUGCGCAGAUAUCAGGAGGAACACCAAUUGCGAAGGCAGCUCGCUGGGACGUAACUGACGCUGAGACGCGAAAGCGUGGGGAGCAAACAGG